rfam:Asian citrus Psyllid, Diaphorina citri - Florida Strain, whole genome shotgun sequence.
GCCUAGUUAGCUUAGUUGGUAGUGCGUCUGCCUUGUAAGCGCUAGGCCGCGGGUUCGAUUCCCACCCGGGGCG